UACGGAGGGGGCUAGCGUUGUUCGGAAUCACUGGGCGUAAAGCGUGCGUAGGCGGCCAUUCAAGUCAGAGGUGAAAGCCCAGGGCUCAACCUUGGAACUGCCUUUGAAACUAGAUGGCUCGAACACGGGAGAGGUGAGUGGAAUUCCGAGUGUAGAGGUGAAAUUCGUAGAUAUUCGGAAGAACACCAGUGGCGAAGGCGGCUCACUGGACCGUUGUUGACGCUGAGGCACGAAAGCGUGGGGAG
rnacentral:rRNA from 1 species